rnacentral:rRNA from 1 species
AGCGUACACGGUGGAUGCCCUGGCAGUCAGAGGCGAUGAAGGACGUGCUAAUCUGCGAUAAGCGUCGGUAAGGUGAUAUGAACCGUUAUAACCGGCGAUUUCCGAAUGGGGAAACCCAGUGUGAUUCGUCACACUAUCAUUAACUGAAUCCAUAGGUUAAUGAGGCGAACCGGGGGAACUGAAACAUCUAAGUACCCCGAGGAAAAGAAAUCAACCGAGAUUCCCCCAGUAGCGGCGAGCGAACGGGGAGCAGCCCAGAGCCUGAAUCAGUGUGUGUGUUAGUGGAAGCGUCUGGAAAGGCGCGCGAUACAGGGUGACAGCCCCGUACACAAAAAUACACAUACUGUGAGCUCGAUGAGUAGGGCGGGACACGUGGUAUCCUGUCUGAAUAUGGGGGGACCAUCCUCCAAGGCUAAAUACUCCUGACUGACCGAUAGUGAACCAGUACCGUGAGGGAAAGGCGAAAAGAACCCCGGCGAGGGGAGUGAAAAAGAACCUGAAACCGUGUACGUACAAGCAGUGGGAGCACAGAGCAAUCUGUGUGACUGCGUACCUUUUGUAUAAUGGGUCAGCGACUUAUAUUCUGUAGCAAGGUUAACCGAAUAGGGGAGCCGAAGGGAAACCGAGUCUUAACUGGGCGUUAAGUUGCAGGGUAUAGACCCGAAACCCGGUGAUCUAGCCAUGGGCAGGUUGAAGGUUGGGUAACACUAACUGGAGGACCGAACCGACUAAUGUUGAAAAAUUAGCGGAUGACUUGUGGCUGGGGGUGAAAGGCCAAUCAAACCGGGAGAUAGCUGGUUCUCCCCGAAAGCUAUUUAGGUAGCGCCUCGUGAAUUCAUCUCCGGGGGUAGAGCACUGUUUCGGCAAGGGGGUCAUCCCGACUUACCAACCCGAUGCAAACUGCGAAUACCGGAGAAUGUUAUCACGGGAGACACACGGCGGGUGCUAACGUCCGUCGUGAAGAGGGAAACAACCCAGACCGCCAGCUAAGGUCCCAAAGUCAUGGUUAAGUGGGAAACGAUGUGGGAAGGCCCAGACAGCCAGGAUGUUGGCUUAGAAGCAGCCAUCAUUUAAAGAAAGCGUAAUAGCUCACUGGUCGAGUCGGCCUGCGCGGAAGAUGUAACGGGGCUAAACCAUGCACCGAAGCUGCGGCAGCGACGCUUAUGCGUUGUUGGGUAGGGGAGCGUUCUGUAAGCCUGCGAAGGUGUGCUGUGAGGCAUGCUGGAGGUAUCAGAAGUGCGAAUGCUGACAUAAGUAACGAUAAAGCGGGUGAAAAGCCCGCUCGCCGGAAGACCAAGGGUUCCUGUCCAACGUUAAUCGGGGCAGGGUGAGUCGACCCCUAAGGCGAGGCCGAAAGGCGUAGUCGAUGGGAAACAGGUUAAUAUUCCUGUACUUGGUGUUACUGCGAAGGGGGGACGGAGAAGGCUAUGUUGGCCGGGCGACGGUUGUCCCGGUUUAAGCGUGUAGGCUGGUUUUCCAGGCAAAUCCGGAAAAUCAAGGCUGAGGCGUGAUGACGAGGCACUACGGUGCUGAAGCAACAAAUGCCCUGCUUCCAGGAAAAGCCUCUAAGCAUCAGGUAACAUCAAAUCGUACCCCAAACCGACACAGGUGGUCAGGUAGAGAAUACCAAGGCGCUUGAGAGAACUCGGGUGAAGGAACUAGGCAAAAUGGUGCCGUAACUUCGGGAGAAGGCACGCUGAUAUGUAGGUGAAGUCCCUCGCGGAUGGAGCUGAAAUCAGUCGAAGAUACCAGCUGGCUGCAACUGUUUAUUAAAAACACAGCACUGUGCAAACACGAAAGUGGACGUAUACGGUGUGACGCCUGCCCGGUGCCGGAAGGUUAAUUGAUGGGGUUAGCGCAAGCGAAGCUCUUGAUCGAAGCCCCGGUAAACGGCGGCCGUAACUAUAACGGUCCUAAGGUAGCGAAAUUCCUUGUCGGGUAAGUUCCGACCUGCACGAAUGGCGUAAUGAUGGCCAGGCUGUCUCCACCCGAGACUCAGUGAAAUUGAACUCGCUGUGAAGAUGCAGUGUACCCGCGGCAAGACGGAAAGACCCCGUGAACCUUUACUAUAGCUUGACACUGAACAUUGAGCCUUGAUGUGUAGGAUAGGUGGGAGGCUUUGAAGUGUGGACGCCAGUCUGCAUGGAGCCGACCUUGAAAUACCACCCUUUAAUGUUUGAUGUUCUAACGUUGACCCGUAAUCCGGGUUGCGGACAGUGUCUGGUGGGUAGUUUGACUGGGGCGGUCUCCUCCUAAAGAGUAACGGAGGAGCACGAAGGUUGGCUAAUCCUGGUCGGACAUCAGGAGGUUAGUGCAAUGGCAUAAGCCAGCUUGACUGCGAGCGUGACGGCGCGAGCAGGUGCGAAAGCAGGUCAUAGUGAUCCGGUGGUUCUGAAUGGAAGGGCCAUCGCUCAACGGAUAAAAGGUACUCCGGGGAUAACAGGCUGAUACCGCCCAAGAGUUCAUAUCGACGGCGGUGUUUGGCACCUCGAUGUCGGCUCAUCACAUCCUGGGGCUGAAGUAGGUCCCAAGGGUAUGGCUGUUCGCCAUUUAAAGUGGUACGCGAGCUGGGUUUAGAACGUCGUGAGACAGUUCGGUCCCUAUCUGCCGUGGGCGCUGGAGAACUGAGGGGGGCUGCUCCUAGUACGAGAGGACCGGAGUGGACGCAUCACUGGUGUUCGGGUUGUCAUGCCAAUGGCACUGCCCGGUAGCUAAAUGCGGAAGAGAUAAGUGCUGAAAGCAUCUAAGCACGAAACUUGCCCCGAGAUGAGUUCUCCCUGACUCCUUGA